ACACUACCAACGCCCGGGUAUUACGAGCCCAGCUUAAAACCCAAAGGACUUGACGGUGUCCCACCCAACUAGAGGAGCCUGUUCUAUAAUCGAUAGUCCCCGAUUUACCCAACCCUAUUUUGCUAAUCAGUCUGUAUACCUCCGUCGUAAACUUAUCAUAUGAAUGUCUACAAUAAGUUAAAUGGUCCCACACCAAUACGUCAGGUCAAGGUGCAUCUUAUAAUAGGGAAAGCAAUGGGCUACAAUUUCUAACAUAGAACACACGAAAUACUGCAUGAAACACAGCUAUGAAGGCGGAUUUAGUAGUAAAAAGA
rnacentral:rRNA from 1 species